GUGCUCACUUCGGCAGCAUAUAUGCUAAAAUUGGAACAAUUUGGAGAAUAUUAGCAUAGGCUCUGGGUAAGGUUGACACACAAAUUUGUGGAGUGUUCCAUAUUGAA
rnacentral:snRNA from 1 species